CCUACGGGAGGCAGCAGUAGGGAAUUUUCGUCAAUGGGCGCAAGCCUGAACCAGCAAUGCCGCGUGAACGAGGAAGGUCUUCGGAUCGUUAAGUUCUUUUUAUGGGGAAAAAGAGCGGAGGGAGUAAAUGGUCUCCGAUUGAUAUUACCCUUCGAGGAAGUCACGGCUAACUACGUGCCAGCAGCCGCGGUAAUACGGAGGAUCCGUGCGUUAUCCGGAUUUAUUGGGUUUAAAGGGAGCGUAGAUGGGUUGUUAAGUCAGUUGUGAAAGUUUGCGGCUCAACCGUAAAAUUGCAAUUGAGACUGGGAGUCUUGAGGAUGUUUGAGGCAGGCGGAAUGCGUGGUGUAGCGGUGAAAUGCUUAGAUAGCACGAAGAACCCCGAUUGCGAAGGCAGCCUACCAAGCUGUGACUGACAUUGAUGCACGAAAGUGUGGGGAUCAAACAGGAUUAGAUACCCCGGUAGUC
rnacentral:rRNA from 1 species